UUCCUUUUCUCCUCUCUCUUAAUUACAAACCACCAACAAUCUCCCACUUUUCAGCCGCUAAUCCCGGCCAUGGUUGUCGCCACCGCCGAGUGCUGUCCACCGAAGCCCGGAACCACCAAUGACAACAAUUCCAUAGAAUGGACAAUGACCCAUUUAGUAUUUGUGUUGAAGUAAUUGUUAAUUGAGUUGUUUUUUAUGGAAUUGGAGUUUACCUAUUUUGUGAUUUUAGUUGUUGUUGUUUUUUUCUUAAAGUAAUUGUUAAUUUUGCUAUUUUAAUGAAAGUAAAGAUGACCCAUUUGGGAUAUGUGUGGAGAUGGCACAAUUCAACAUUUAACACAAUGAAUGAACUUGUUACCCGAAAUUAAUUUUGUGUUUUUUUUUUAAAGUUGAUUUUUGAGUAAAGAUUUUUUGUUGAUGGUGGAGCAGCCAUGGUGCUUGCUUUGUUGAAGAGGAGAAAGAAAGAAGAGAGAAGAGAAAGAAGACAAAAAUUAGAACUUAGAGUUCUAUUUUGAAGUUAAACUUAGUUCUGAUGAUGGAGAGGAAAUAGAUGGCUGAGGAUGAAGUUAAGCUUGGUUUGAUCUCUUCAAAUUAUUUGAUUUUUUUCAAAAUUCUCGAGCAAAAUAGAUGGAUG
rnacentral:lncRNA from 1 species